AGAUAUGUUCUUAUUCUUCAGAUCUGGGGUUUUGACUGGUUUUGUUAUUAUUGUAGUCGAACUUUUGAAAUUGAAGAUGAAAAUGGAAUCCAUGUGAUUCUUCAAAUGGAUGAUAUAGAACUAUUUCAAGAUGUCAUUCCUUAGAGAUUCUUCAAAAGGUUUGGUUGUGUUGCCUCGCAACGAAAGAUGAAUGGUGUGGGAAUCGGUUUUACGGUUUGGAGCGGGCGCAAAAAGAGGCUUUGAAGAGAUAGGAUGAUUGCAGUUCGAGGAUCUUCCGUCUUCCUUUUCUUUCUGUUUAUAUUGUGUUUCAAGUAUGGUUCAUUUACAACAAGUUUCAUCACAACCAUCGGGUAAUUGGUUUUGUAUGAACUUACUUAUUUUAAGUCUUCUUUGUUCUUCUUUGACGUUCCUCCGGCGUAUGUAACUGAAAUACAUGCUUCUUUAGCUUAUGGUAAUGGAUCUGAAAAUCUAGAAGAGAAUAUAAAGGGCUCAC